rnacentral:rRNA from 1 species
UACGUAGGGUGCAAGCGUUGUCCGGAAUUAUUGGGCGUAAAGAGCUCGUAGGCGGUCUGUCGCGUCUGCUGUGAAAACUCAGGGCUUAACCCUGAGCUUGCAGUGGGUACGGGCAGACUAGAGUGCGGUAGGGGCAACUGGAAUUCUCGGUGUAGCGGUGAAAUGCGUAGAUAUCGAGAGGAACACCUGCGGCGAAGGCGGGUUGCUGGGCUGACACUGACGCUGAGACGCGAAAGCGUGGGGAGCAAACAGG